GUAGCUCAGUGGUAGAGCACUCCCUUGGUAAGGAAGAGGUGGAGAGUUCGAUCCCUUC
rnacentral:tRNA from 1 species